rnacentral:rRNA from 1 species
GUGGGGAAUAUUGGACAAUGGGCGAAAGCCUGAUCCAGCCAUGCCGCGUGUGUGAAGAAGGUCUUCGGAUUGUAAAGCACUUUAAGUUGGGAGGAAGGGCAGUAAGUUAAUACCUUGCUGUUUUGACGUUACCGACAGAAUAAGCACCGCCUAACUUCGUGCCAGCAGCCGCGGUAAUACGAAGGGUGCAAGCGUUAAUCGGAAUUACUGGGCGUAAAGCGCGCGUAGGUGGUUUUCUAAGUUGGAGGUGAAAUCCCCGGGCUCACCCUGGGAACUGCCUCCAAAACUGCAUGACUAGAGGACGGUAGAGGGGAGUGGAAUUUCCUGUGUAGCGGUGGAAUGCGUAGAUAUAGGAAGGAACACCAGUGGCGAAGGCGACUACCUGGACUGAUACUGACACUGAGGUGCGAAAGCGUGGGGAGCAAACAGGAUUAGAUACCCGGGUAGUCC